rnacentral:misc_RNA from 1 species
AAGUCGUAAACAAGGUCUUCCGUAUGGUGAACCUGCGGAGGGAUCAUUACCGAGUGAGGGUGCCCCCCGGGCGACCCGACCUUCCCCAACCCUUUGUUUUGACCUAACACCUCAAGUUGCCUCGGGGGUGACCCGGCCCUUCUCGGGUCCGGGGCCCCCACGUGGACCACACAUCAACGCUGCAUCUCUGCGUCGGAGUCAUUGAAGCGAAUUCAAUCAAAA